rnacentral:rRNA from 1 species
GACGAACGCUGGCGGCGUGCCUAAUACAUGCAAGUCGAACGCAGUGGGGACGGGUGAGUAACACGUGGGUAACCUCCCAUCAGAGGGGAUAACACUUGGAAACAGGUGCUAAACCGAUACUGAUGGAUGGACCCGCGGUGCAUUAGCUAGUUGGUGAGGUAACGGCGCACCAAGGCCACGAUGCAUCGACGAACUGAUAAAGUGAACGGCACAACGGUGACAGAUAGACGGCGCAUACUCCUACGGAACGCAGCAGUAAGGAACAUUCGGCAAUGGACGAAAGUCUGACCGAGCAACGCCGAGUGAAUGAAGAAGGUUUUCGGAUCGUAAAGCUCUGUUGUUAGAGAAGCGGUAUCUAACCAGAAGGCCACGGCUAACUACGUGCCAGCAGCCGCGGUAUUC